rnacentral:tRNA from 2 species
GGGGGUGUAGCUCAGCUGGGAGAGCACCUGCCUUGCAAGCAGGGGGUCAGGAGUUCGAUCCUCCUCAUCUCCA